rnacentral:rRNA from 1 species
GACGAACGCUGGCGGCGUGCUUAACACAUGCAAGUCGAGCGGUAAGGCCCUUCGGGGUACACGAGCGGCGAACGGGUGAGUAACACGUGGGUGACCUGCCCCCAACUCUGGGAUAAGCCCGGGAAACUGGGUCUAAUACCGGAUAUGACUACAUGUCGCAUGGUGUGUGGUGGAAAGUUUUUCGGUUGGGGAUGGGCCCGCGGCCUAUCAGCUUGUUGGUGGGGUGAUGGCCUACCAAGGCGACGACGGGUAGCCGGCCUGAGAGGGCGACCGGCCACACUGGGACUGAGACACGGCCCAGACUCCUACGGGAGGCAGCAGUGGGGAAUAUUGCGCAAUGGGCGAAAGCCUGACGCAGCGACGCCGCGUGGGGGAUGACGGCCUUCGGGUUGUAAAGCUCUUUCGCCCGGGACGAUAAUGACGGUACCAGAAGAAGAAGCCCCGGCUAACUUCGUGCCAGCAGCCGCAGUAACAC